CAGAAAUAAUUGUCUGUUUGAAUGUGGACUACUAUUAGGAAAGGAACAUACGAAUUGUACUACUUGGUUUUUUCCAGUUUUGGAUGAGGAAGUGAAUAUUUGUGAUCCCUGGAAAACAAAGAAAUUUAUAGAGUAAUGAAUUUAAGCAACAUUAAAAAAUACACUAGAAUUCCAGAAUAAGAUGCAUAUUUAUUCUGGAAGUUUGGAAUAGAUUUUUCUCAUAAUAAAUAAUUAAAAUGAAUUGAUCAGUUUUCAAUGACAAAAUUUUGAUCCCCCAAACAUUGCCUUUUUUAAACAGAACUUGUAGAGAAAUAUGUUCAGAUUUGAAUAAUUAAAGCAAGAUACACAUAAUUAAAACAGUAAAUUUAACAACUACAAUACGGCCCAUACCUUGGCAUUGAUGAGUAGCUGAAUCUGUGAAGACGAAAGUGGAGUGUUAGUAAUUCUUUGGAAGUGGACUUGCAUUCAUCAGAUAAUAUGAUCUGGUAUCUGCAUGUACUCAUAUUCACGUGAUUGAGUAGGACUCCGAAGUUUUGUUUAAGCUUAAGACGCAAAGUUUUUUAUUCCCCUUUUGCGUGGAAUUCCAGCGACAGUAGGGACUUCAAAGAUGUAGGAUGUGAUUGCAAGCUGAACUGCAAAGAAACCAUUUAUACCACUUCUUUUUCUUCCCUUCCUUUCCGAAGUUGCAAUUUUUUUAAUCUGGAAAUGUCAUAUCUCUGUAAUUUCCAGUCAGAAAAUCUUCCAGUGCCUCAAAUAUUUGUCGAGGACGUCAUUGAAUCUAAAACAAAAGCUUACAUUAAGAGCAAAUAUGUGUCCCCAAAGCGUGUUAUACCAAAGGAAGUAAAUAUUCGAACAGAAUAUUCAACUGAUGAAAAAUAUAAUGCCUUUUCUAAAGAUAUAUCUGUUGUCAAUUUUUAUUUUGAAAAAUCGGCAAUCUUGCAAUAUCAACGGCAUAAAAAAUUAAGUUCUAUAGAGUUUAUGGGACAGAUUGGAGGGAUUCUAGGACUAUGGAUUGGAUUCAGUAUUAUUUCAUUUAUUGAGCUCAUCUAUUGGUUCCUUUUCAAGUUUUUAUUCGUAAGAUCAACUGAGUGAAAUUAACUAUAUGUAGUUUGGAGUCUGUUUUAACUUUUAUUAUUAUUCUGUUACAUGAAAAAGUAAAUUAUAAGACUAAGUAAAAAUGUCAUAGGUUCUUAUUAUAUUGUACUAUAAUGAAAACAGGAAUAUUUUUUGCAAUUUACGUGCAAUUUGCUUAAUAUAUAUUUGAUAUAUCUUA
rnacentral:lncRNA from 1 species